AAGCAUAUCAAUAAGCGGAGGAAAAGAAACUAACAAGGAUUCCCCUAGUAACGGCGAGUGAAGAGGGAAAAGCUCAAAUUUUGAAUCUGGUGUCUUUGGCGCCCGAGUUGUAAUCUAGAGAAGUGUUUUCUGCUUUGGACCGUGCACAAGUUCCCUGGAACGGGGCGUCAUAGAGGGUGAGAAUCCCGUAUAUGGCACGGACUACCAAUGCUCUGUGAUACACUCUCAACGAGUCGAGUUGUUUGGGAAUGCAGCUCAAAAUGGGUGGUAAAUUCCAUCUAAAGCUAAAUAUUGGCGAGAGACCGAUAGCGAACAAGUACCGUGAGGGAAAGAUGAAAAGCACUUUGGAAAGAGAGUGAAACAGUACGUGAAAUUGUUGAAAGGGAAGCGUUUGAAGUCAGUCAUAUCUGGCGGGAUUCAGCCUGGCUUCUGCCUGGUGUACUUUCCGUCCGAUGGGUCAGCAUCAAUUCAGACCGAGGGAAAAAGGCGUUUGGAAUGUGGCUGUCUUCGGGCAGUGUUAUAGCCUCGCGUUGUAUGUCUCGGUUGGGAUUGAGGAGUUGCAGCGCGCCACUUAAUUGGCCGGGGGCUGUAGUGGCCUCUCGACACGCGCUUAGGAUGCUGGCAUAAUGGCUUUAAGCGACCCGUCUUGAAACACGGACCAAGGAGUCUAACAUGUGCGCGAGUGUUUGGGUGUCAAACCCGAGCGCGAAAUGAAAGUGAAAAGUUGGGAGCCUUCAUUGGUGCACCGACGCCCGGAGCAGACCUUUUGUGACGCAUCCGCGGUAGAGCGUGUAUGUUGGGACCCGAAAGAUGGUGAACUAUGCCUGAAUAGGGUGAAGCCAGAGGAAACUCUGGUGGAGGCUC
rnacentral:rRNA from 1 species